rnacentral:rRNA from 1 species
UUAGAGUUUGAUCCUGGCUCAGGAUGAACGCUAGCGACAGGCCUAACACAUGCAAGUCGAGGGGCAUCGGGGGAGAGAGCUUGCUCUCUCCUGCCGGCGACCGGCGCACGGGUGAGUAACGCGUAUGCGACCUGCCCCGCACAGACGGAUAACCCGGAGAAAUCCGGACUAAUACCGCGUAACCUCCCGGGAGGACAUCUCUCGGGAGUCAAAGGAGCGAUCCGGUCAUGGAUGGGCAUGCGGCGCAUUAGUUAGUUGGCGGGGUAACGGCCCACCAAGGCGACGAUGCGUAGGGGUUCUGAGAGGAAGGUCCCCCACACUGGUACUGAGACACGGACCAGACUCCUACGGGAGGCAGCAGUGAGGAAUAUUGGUCAAUGGGCUAAGGCCUGAACCAGCCAAGUCGCGUGAGGGAAGACGGUCCUAUGGAUUGUAAACCUCUUUUGUCGGGGAGCAACGAGGCCACGUGUGGCCGAAGUGAGAGUACCCGAAGAAAAAGCAUCGGCUAACUCCGUGCCAGCAGCCGCGGUAAUACGGAGGAUGCGAGCGUUAUCCGGAUUUAUUGGGUUUAAAGGGUGCGUAGGCGGAACAUUAAGUCAGCGGUAAAAUCGAGGGGCUCAACCCCUUUAAGCCGUUGAAACUGGUGAUCUUGAGUGGGCGAGAAGUAUGCGGAAUGCGUGGUGUAGCGGUGAAAUGCAUAGAUAUCACGCAGAACUCCGAUUGCGAAGGCAGCAUACCGGCGCCCGACUGACGCUGAGGCACGAAAGCGUGGGGAUCGAACAGGAUUAGAUACCCUGGUAGUCCACGCAGUAAACGAUGAAUACUAACUGUCCGGGUCGAGCGAGAUCUGGGUGGUAAAGCGAAAGCGUUAAGUAUUCCACCUGGGGAGUACGCCGGCAACGGUGAAACUCAAAGGAAUUGACGGGGGCCCGCACAAGCGGAGGAACAUGUGGUUUAAUUCGAUGAUACGCGAGGAACCUUACCCGGGCUCAAACGCAGGAGGAAUGUUUUUGAAAGGAGGCAGCUCUUUGGAGUCUCUGCCGAGGUGCUGCAUGGUUGUCGUCAGCUCGUGCCGUGAGGUGUCGGCUUAAGUGCCAUAACGAGCGCAACCCCUACCGCCAGUUGCCAACGGGUAAAGCCGGGAACUCUGGCGGGACUGCCGGCGCAAGCUGUGAGGAAGGCGGGGAUGACGUCAAAUCAGCACGGCCCUUACGUCCGGGGCGACACACGUGUUACAAUGGCAGGUACAGCGGGAAGCCACCGGGCGACCGGGAGCGGAACCCGAAAGCCUGUCUCAGUUCGGAUUGGAGUCUGCAACUCGACUCCAUGAAGCUGGAUUCGCUAGUAAUCGCGCAUCAGCCACGGCGCGGUGAAUACGUUCCCGGGCCUUGUACACACCGCCCGUCAAGCCAUGGAAGCCGGGGGUGCCUGAAGUGCGUGACCGCAAGGAGCGCCCUAGGGUAAAACCGGUGACUGGGGCUAAG